rnacentral:lncRNA from 1 species
UUCCUUUAAAAUCCCUAUUAUACUAGACCUAGCAUAUAGAUCAUUAGACCCCUAAGACCCGAGGAGAAAUUAAAAGACGGCGGACCGUAGAGACCCUUUCCCAGAAAAUACAUAGAACAUCGACUUCAAGGAAGACCUCAAGUUUCAGCCAUGAGAGGACCUUCCUAAUCCCCUUCAGUAGAGUAUGUUCCCCUCUUUCUUCUUUAUCGUUCUAUUGCUCACACAACAGAGAACGAGGCAAAUCUGAGUUCCCUUAUUCUGUUUCGAUUCCUUCACUUCUCGACACAGAUAAAUAAGAAGACCUUCACAUUCACACACGAUAAAAUGGGCCUACCAAAUUCGGGAAUCUGGGAAUUUCAAGAGUUUUAAAAAGCAAAGCAAAGAUUAUUGUGCUGAAUUCGUAGAUGAACGUCGACCUUAACUUUCGGCCUUCAUAUGGCCUUUGUUGUUCGUUUCUGCUAGCGAAAAGGUAAACACAUAAAACUCCAGAUGUGUUUGAAUGUUCUUCAAUGAAAAAUGAGCUGUCUAUCUACUCGAGAUCCGUAUGAAAUUUGUUUUGCUCAGAUUUAGAACUGUCUCCUUAGUGCUGAAUUUGAUUUUACGCCUUGAAGCCAUAACUCACAGAUGUUAAUGUGAGCUUUUAAAAUUUACUAUGUGUCGAUUUGAUUAACAGUUGCAGUGCUUACUUUAAGAUUAAAUCUGAAAUGUUUCUCUAUGCUAUUCUGCUUGUGUGAUAAUCUCCUUGGUUUGGUUUGAUUCAGUUUAUAUUCUGUCAAAGUUUGCCAAUUAGAAAUUAUGUUCAUUUUCGAAUUUACCUGAAUGAUUAUUGAUGCGGAAAGCUCUGACACUAGCGUGCUUCAGUUAUUCUGGUUUGUAGGUAAAUUAUCUCAAAUGGAAUGAGCUCAUGUUUGAAGUUUUUCUCCCUAAUUUUGUUUUGGCUUCAUGGACUUCUUUUUCUUUUAUUUGCUCUGUGAUCUUAGUACUGCCUCCUCCUUGCUUGGUCUGUUCAACACUUGCCCUUCAUCAUAGAUUAUUUCAGUCAAAAAAUAUUGUUUGCCUCAAGCUUUGGAAGUAUAUUGUUAGAACACAUUCCCAUGUUGUUGCAUUUCGAGCAAUUACAAGUCAAGAUGGAAUGACUGCAGACCAGUACUACUUAUAUUUCAAGUUCUUUGACUCUUUGACCAUGUAGUAAGAAAGAUCUCAAUAGUGUUAGUGGUAAAUCAAGUUCUACUUACUUAUUGCGUCAAAGCCUCCAUCAUAGUGGAGUGGGAAUAAGCUUGCGUUUGGUGACUUAAAUUGCUUAAGAAGGCUAAAUUUGGUGAUUGAAGUAGGUUAUUUUCUUUUUUGAUUUUCGGCGUAUAAUAAAAAGGAAGAACAAUUCAUGAUCAUCCAUAGGUUAUUUAAUUGAGUAUAAAUCUUUUAAAAUAAAUUGAGGCGUGUCAUAUUAAGUAAGAUAUAGUUUAUGGCCGCUUAGUUCGAGCUACCUUUGAAAUUGGAAUCGAGGUGUGCCAUGCCAAAUAAAAUAUAAAAAAGCAUGGCCCUCAUUUAAUUAAUUUUAAAUCCUUAGAAAUCGAGGCGUUCCAUUCAGUUUAAUUUUUCAUGGCCUUCGCAAAUUUGAAAGCAUGUAGUUUCUUUAGGUGCUUAAUUUGAAUUAAUUUUCUUAAACUUGGGUGUGCAUUUCAUGUGACCCAAAUCCAAAUCUAAACAUCGUUAAAUAAUUGUGUUGUGGGCCGCAGGUGCAUUUCAUGUGGCGUGGUUCAAAGACGUAUUUUUGAUAAUGUUGAAUUUUCCUAAAAAUAAUUUACAAGCCUUUAAUAACCUACAAUUUAACCAUAUGCUAAAACAUGUAUUAAAAUCGGAUAAUAGGCCAAUUAUAAUAGUUUAAGUAACCGUACUAGAAUAACAAAAUCCGGGAGUGCCUAACACCUUUCCUCGGGUUAACAGAAUUCCUUAUUCAAAAUUUAUGGUUAGCACACUUAAAAAGGAAAGUCAAAUUCUCCUCGAUUUGGGAUUUUAUAUAAACCAGUCACUUGAGACACCAGAAAACAAACCAUCCCAAGUGGCAACUCUGAAUAAAAAAUAAAUAAAUAAUUUCAUUUCAAAUAAUAUAACUUAAAGUGGAAAAUCUCCCUUAUACCCUUUGGGUGGGUAGAAAGGAGGUGUGACAGCUCUGGCGACUCCGCUAGGUAUCCAAACCUAGAACUUCCGUUCAGGGUUCAAGAAUUCGAGCUUAGAAUAGCAUUUAUAGUUGACUUUAUUUAUUGUCUGAUUUUUACAUAUUUGUAUUUGAAAAUAUCAUGCAUUUUAAGUUUUUAAAAAAUCGGUAAAGGUGCUGCACUUGGCUUCCAUGUUUAUUAUGAAUACCUGUCAAUAUCCACACCUUUGAUUACAGGUGGUAGGCCAUAUAUUUGCUCUAUACGAUCGAUUUGCUGAUUUGCUCCUUCAACUGUUUCUGCAAAGUUAGCACUAAAAUUUGUAAAUUAGAAUUAUUUGGUGUACCUGGCCCUCCACCACGAGAUUCAUUAGGAAUUUCUCCAUUUACCAUCAAGACUUGAACGUGAGUUCUCCAAAGUUGUCGUGUUGACUGGUGGAGGAGUUUGCGCCGCAUUGGGUAAUCCUCUAAUAAAAGCUUGCAAGACAUUGUGCAUGUGUUCUGCAGUCAAUUGCUUUAGAGUACCUUGCUCCACUAUUUGGGCGUCUCCCUACUGAUCAUCAGUGUGCAAAACUAACCUUUCAGGUGAAUUUUCACAAGAUUGCCAAGGGGAUCCUGUAGGUAUAUGGUGUGGUGGAGUUUCACCUUGUUGGUUCAGCUGAUCAUUCUCGAUAACAGUUGACAUACUUGGUUGUUAAAAUGGAGAUUUUAAAUUGAACAAAUUAUCAGAUUUUCGUUAAAGGAACUAAUUUUUUUAACCAAAAAUAGAUUUCUCUGUCAAAGUCAAUAUCUAAAAGAAAUCAGAUUACUAAUAACCAAGAUUUUGUUAUAAAUAGAACUCUAUUUAAGGUGAAUGUCUAUAUUUAGAGAGAUUCUAGAG